GGGAGUCCGCUGUCCUCACAGCAAGAAACGGAAGGAGGUUCCCUCAGGGCUCUUUUGCCUCCCGGAAGUACAAGGCGCCUCCAUCUUCACAGCAUGAAGGAAGCCGAGGAGAUGCCAUGUGAGGGUGCAGCGAGGAGUUGGGCUGUCUAAAAGCAAAGAAAGAGAUUGCAUCAGACACCGCAUCUGCUGACACCUUGUUCUUGGACUUCCAGCUUCCAAAACCGCGAGAAAUAAAUGUCUGUGUCUAAACCCCAACCCUACCACCUCAACUGCCGUGUGUGGUGUUUUGUGAUGGCAGCCCCAGCUGACUGAGACACCUGGUUAGACCGGAAUAAGCAGGCUGCAAUCGGUAGCAGUCACCAUUGAACAUCCUUGAAGCAAUUCUUCCAAAAUUACCUUGCAUCAAAGACUGCACAAGAACUGCUCUAAGCGGAAGGACUGAUGUCGGCAACCAGGGUUCCACCAGGGGCUGCAGACAGCCCUUGACCUUCAGGUGGGAAGGUGUCACUGAGUUCAGACCCUCUGGCAAUCCCUAGCUAUCAACAUUUUGAUAAGAAAAUAAGUGGAAAGGUAGAACUGGAAGAUUUUGCUGAAAGAUUGGACAUGGCAUUCAGAGAAACAGAGGUUUUAAUGACAAACUCCAAGUUUUUGGCUGGAGCAACUGGAAGAAUGAGGUUGCCAUGAACCGAAAAGAGAGAUUGCAGAAGUAACCAAAUUUACUCACGUAGGCCAGGAAUUUCUAUGACGUGUUCCAAAUUCAGCCUCUCACUGAACACUUCCAGAGCAAGGCAACAUAAACAUCUGCAAGAAGAACAUUGUGUGAGAAAUAUCAAGUGAGAGUGGAAGAGUCUGCGGAGGGCCUCCCUGGGGCUCACCUGUGCUUUUGCCUGAGCUUCACCGUGUCAAGCACUUUUUCCCUCUGGAGGAAGCAGCUUUCACCUUGGAAGAAUCUUGACCUUGCCAUUCAAAGUCACCAGACAGGGAAUCUGCCAGUGCCUUGAUCUUAGACUUCCCAGCUUCUGUAACUGUGAGCAAUAAAUGUAUGCUGCUUAUAAACUA
rnacentral:lncRNA from 1 species